GGUCUCACCAUGGCCUGGACCCCUCUCCUGCUCCCCCUCCUCACUCUCUGCACAGGUUCUAUGGCCUCUCAGCUGACUCAGGAACCUUCAGUGUCUGUGGCCUUGGGCCAGACGGCCAGAAUGACCUGCCAGGGAGACAGCUUAAGAAGCUAUUAUGCAAGCUGGUACCAGCAGAAGCCAGGCCAGGCCCCUGUGCUGGUCAUCUACAGUAAUAGCAACCGGCCCUCAGGGAUCCCUGAGCGAUUCUCUGGCUCCAAAUCAGGGACCACGGCCACCCUGACCAUCAGCGGGGCCCAGGCUGAGGACGAGGCUGACUAUUACUGCGGCUCGUAUACAGGUAGCAGCACUUCCCACGGUGGUCCAAGUUCAUGGGGAAAAUCACCUCCUUGA